rnacentral:rRNA from 1 species
ACACGUGGGUAACCUGCCUUAUAGUGGGGGAUAGCCCUUCGAAAGGAAGAUUAAUACCGCAUAAGAUUGUAGUAUCGCAUGAUAUAGCAAUUAAAGGAGCAAUCCGCUAUAAGAUGGACCCGCGUCGCAUUAGCUAGUUGGUGAGGUAAUGGCUCACCAAGGCGACAAUGCGUAGCCGACCUGAGAGGGUGAUCGGCCACAUUGGGACUGAGACACGGCCCAGACUCCUACGGGAGGCAGCAUG